rnacentral:rRNA from 1 species
AGUGAACGCUGGCGGCAGGCCUAACACAUGCAAGUCGAACGGCAGCACAGGGGAGCUUGCUCCCUGGGUGGCGAGUGGCGGACGGGUGAGGAAUACAUCGGAAUCUACCUUGUCGUGGGGGAUAACCUCGGGAAACCGGGACUAAUACCGCAUACGACCUACGGGUGAAAGCGGAGGACCGCAAGGCUUCGCGCGAUUGG